AAUCAAAAUUAGUUAUGUUAAAUUAGCAUGAAUCCAGGCAAGAUAAACUUGUUGAAUAACCUACAAACCAACAUAGAAUUCUUUUCACAGUUUGUCAAAUUAAUAUCCCACUUAAGAGGUAAUACGAAAUCAUAACAUUUGUAGAGCGUCAUUAUGGAAUCAAAUGCACUUAAAGAUAUUAACCAACAGAAUACUCAGGUUGCAUUUAAUGGCAGACAAUUGAGGCACCAUUGGAUUUGUAAAGAAUCAAUUCAAAAUUGAAUGGAAAUAUUUCCAAAUAUGGUUAACCAUAGCUUAAAGAAAGAUUCUCACCUGCAUAGAGAAGUUAAAAGUCAUGUAAAUCGCAGGCUUGAGAUCAUAGUAAGCUGCACUAACUCCAAUUCCAAUAAAUCUGGCAUGCAAUAUAUAAAUUGGUUGAGUAUGGAAAUUAUUACAAAGACAACAAAAACAAUUCAAAAGUUUUAAGGCAAAGAGAAACCUCAAUAUUAGGAGUUUCCAAAACUCCGUCGGGACCAUACUUCUUCAGAAGUCCUUUGAAAAUUAAAGUAAAAUAAAGUAAAAAUAAAAUACUAAUUACUGAAAAAAUAAAAAUAAGAUUAAGAAAAGUCUUGUUAUUUAAGUAGUUGAGGUGCUAUUGAACGAGUAACACUCACCAACCUAUGUAUUAGUAAUAAACAAGUUAAAAAAGUCGUGAAAUCCAAAAAUAGCAAAGCAACAAUGUGCCUAAUUGCAUUUUCUUCUCAUAGUAAACUAAAACUUCCAGUUUACUUCUUCACCCAUUAAAACGACUUUGGAGUCAGUAGACAUUUCUUCAUCAAGUGUCAAAUUUAAAGCCUCACAUAAUGUCAUCUACAAGAAACGGCAUUUACAUAUCAUUAACCACAACAAUACAAAUUACUUGGAUAUAAAUUUUGAUUGAUGUUCUCAUACAAUUUGGAUCUGGGACAACAUUAACAAAGAAACCUCACAAAUGACCUAAACUUAAAAAAAACAAAAACGAAAGCAUAGGCUGCAGCAUAAAAGUCCAAAAAUAUUAAAACAAUACAGAUUUUACUUAAUGAAUCGUAUAUUUUAGUAUAUGUACUCAUAUUUUAGUAUAUGUACUCCCUCAACAUUCAACUACCAAACAUUUUUAUUUGCUUGCUCAAAUACUCAACAUUAAGAAACUUGGAAAAAAUAUGUAGAUCAUUCGUAAAUGUACGCUUUUGCUGCGGUAGAAAAAGCCCAGGAUGCAACUAUUCGCAUUCGUCACUCCAAAAUCUUCAAAUCAUUGGAUGAAUUGGUGGUGAGUUGGUCGAAGUUGAAAUAUAAGUAUCCUCUAUCCUUAAUAGUAAUCAAUCAAAACUUUCACUCUCCAUACAAAAUGGAACAUGCUGGUGCUUUCUGGUCCUGUAAAUACUCAAAAACAAAAAAGAAACAAGGUUUUCACUUUAUACUUCAACAGUUAUACCAGUAAUUGCAAACUUAUAUUUUAUAUUUGGAAAAUUCCUGUCAAUACGAACCUGAAAGACAUUGCUAACAUCAAUCUAAGGAAUGGAACAAUCGAAAAAAGUCUAUAGAGGAAAAUAAUGUAAAGCGUAUUAAGGAGAUCACUCAUAACACCGAUAGUAUAAGAAGUGUCAUCUUGUCAGAGGGUCUGUUGAACAGAAGCUUAUGCCUUUCGAAAACAACUGCUAAAAGAUGAACAGAGGCCAAGUAAAAGUAGAAUUUUCUUCAUGCCUUGUUUCCUCUUUAGCUUAUCGACCAGCUAAUUCAAGAAAAUAUAAAAAAUUAAAACAUGAAAGGUAAGCUUAAUUUUAUAAAAAUUGGAAAAUUUGAGCACAACUUGUAGUAAGGCCCAUUUCGUUUCUCUUGCUGUGGCUUUCUCUAUUGUUUGUAAUUUGCUUCCUUGUAAUUUCAUCUUCUUUCUCUUCCAAGAUUUAGAGAUAUCAAUUCAAAAGUACAAUUACCAAGAAAAAAUAUUAAUUUCUUGAAAAUUAUGAAUAAAUUGGGCAAAUUCUUGAAGAAAUUUUUGAUUGUUCAAUACAAUUUAAAGGAUAAUUUUUUUUAAGAAAAAUAGUUAUAUACUUACAUUUUGAGGAUGCUGGGGUGCUUGCUUAGAGUUAAUACUUGAGCUAACUUUAUUAUUCAUUUGACAGCAUGUAAAAUUAUGACAUAUAACUAAGGGAUGUCAAGGAUGAUUACUACUAAUUAACAUAUGCUUCAACUAACAUCCAUACAGAUAAAAGUAUUUUCAAGUCAUUCUAAUCACAAUAAUCAUCAUCUCGUAAAAGUAAAAUUCAAUAAAUCAAACAGGGAUUCAUUACAAUAAAGAAAUUAGUAUAAAAUUACAGAAAUUUGAAAAAGGGAACUAACCUGAGUUGUCAAAAUAGCCGGGAUUCUGGGUUCGAACUCCUAAAAGAUCGAACACAAAAAUAAAAUGACAACAGAUUUAACAGCAUAACUGAAGAAAUAGGAAAAAAUAUAUAUAUAUACACAAAAGCAAGAAAUUGAACAAAGAAUAUAGAACAAAGACAUCAAAGGAACAUAAUUUAUCUAUUUCGAGUUUCAUUUAUCAAAAGACCGAACAAAAAAAUGAAAAAAUUCACAGAUUGAACCAUGCAACUAAAGAAAUCAUAAGAAAUAUAUAG
rnacentral:lncRNA from 1 species